rnacentral:rRNA from 1 species
CCUACGGGUGGCUGCAGUGGGGAAUAUUGGACAAUGGGGGCAACCCUGAUCCAGCCAUGCCGCGUGUGUGAAGAAGGCCCUCGGGUUGUAAAGCACUUUCAGUGAGGAAGAACGCCUGGUGGUUAAUACCCAUCAGGAAAGACAUCACUCACAGAAGAAGCACCGGCUAACUCCGUGCCAGCAGCCGCGGUAAUACGGAGGGUGCGAGCGUUAAUCGGAAUUACUGGGCGUAAAGCGCGCGUAGGUGGCUUGAUAAGCCGGUUGUGAAAGCCCCGGGCUCAACCUGGGAAGGGCAUCCGGAACUGUCAAGCUAGAGUGCAGGAGAGGAAGGUAGAAUUCCCGGUGUAGCGGUGAAAUGCGUAGAGAUCGGGAGGAAUACCAGUGGCGAAGGCGGCCUUCUGGACUGACACUGACACUGAGGUGCGAAAGCGUGGGUAGCAAACAGGAUUAGAUACCCUUGUAGUC